rnacentral:rRNA from 1 species
AACGAACGCUGGCGGCAGGCUUAACACAUGCAAGUCGAACGCUCCUUUCGGGGUGAGUGGCAGACGGGUGAGUAACGCGUGGGAAUCUACCCUUCUCUACGGGAUAGCUCCGGGAAACUGGAAUUAAUACCGUAUACGUCCUGAGGGAGAAAGAUUUAUCGGGGAAGGAUGAGCCCGCGUUGGAUUAGCCAGUUGGUGGGGUAAAGGCCUACCAAGGCGACGAUCCAUAGCUGGUCUACGAGGAUGAUCAGCCACCUUGGGACUGAGAAACGGCCCAAACUCCUACGGGAGGCAGCAGUGGGGAAUAUUGGACAAUGGGCGCAAGCCUGAUCCAGCCAUGCCGCGUGAGUGAUGAAGGCCCUAGGGUUGUAAAGCUCUUUCAGUGGGGACGAUAAUGACGGUACCCACAGAAGAAGCCCCGGCUAACGUCGUGCCAGCCGCCGCGGUAA